AUUCAGUUUACUCUUUGGAUGCCUCUAGGAUCUGAAGGUACAGGAAGCUUUGCUGAAUAAGUUUUCAUUGUCGAGAUGGUCUUCACAGCACUCAAAGUCAACAUCCCUGGGUUCAUCCACACCUGUGUUUUCUAUGAGUUCUCCAAUAUCAAGGAGAUUUAACAGUUUGUUUGGUAAAACAGGAAAAUAAGCCCCAGGAUUU
rnacentral:lncRNA from 1 species